rnacentral:rRNA from 1 species
GACAGAGGAGCCAAGCGUUGUCCGGAUUGACUGGGCGUAAAGCGCACGCAGGCGGCUGUGCACGUGGGGUGUGAAAGCUGGCGGCUUAACUGCCAGACGCCACCUCAUACGGCACGGCUCGGGCCCGUGAGAGGUCCACGGAAUUGCCGGUGUAGUGGUGAAAUGCGUAGAGAUCGGCAGGAACACCCAGGGGGAAACCAGUGGACUGGCACGGUGCUGACGCUCAGGUGCGAAAGCGUGGGGAGCGAACCGG